rnacentral:rRNA from 1 species
UACGUAGGUGGCAAGCGUUGUCCGGAUUUAUUGGGUUUAAAGGGUGCGUAGGCGGUCCUUUAAGUCAGUGCUGAAAUACUCUAGCUUAACUAGAGGGGUGGCAUUGAUACUGGGGGACUUGAAUGAAGUCGAGGUAGGCGGAAUUGACGGUGUAGCGGUGAAAUGCUUAGAUAUCGUCAAGAACACCGAUAGUGAAGACAGCUUACUAGGCUUAGAUUGACGCUGAGGCACGAAAGUGUGGGGAUCAAACAGG